rnacentral:rRNA from 1 species
UACGUAGGGGGCAAGCGUUGUCCGGAUUUAUUGGGCGUAAAGAGCGUGUAGGCGGCCUUACAGGUCAGCUGUGAAAACUCGAGGCUCAACCUCGAGACGCCGGUGGAAACUGCAAAGCUAGAGUCCGGAAGAGGAGAGUGGAAUUCCUGGUGUAGCGGUGAAAUGCGCAGAUAUCAGGAAGAACACCCGUGGCGAAGGCGGCUCUCUGGGACGGUACUGACGCUGAGACGCGAAAGCGUGGGGAGCGAACAGG